CCGACGAGUCCUUUGGGACGAAGUGACUGACACCACGCUUCCAGGAAAAGCCACUAAGCUUCAGCUGUAGAAAAACCGUACCGCAAACCGACACAGGUAGGCAGGGUGAGAAUCCCAAGGCGCUUGAGAGAACUCGGGUGAAGGAACUAGGCAAAAUGGCACCGUAACUUCGGGAGAAGGUGCGCCUCUUGGUGUGGUCACGUGCGUGACUGAGCAUCGAGGGGUCGCAGUAACCUGGCCGCUGCGACUGUUUAUCAAAAACACAGCACUCUGCAAACACGAAAGUGGACGUAUAGGGUGUGACGCCUGCCCGGUGCUGGAAGGUUAAUUGAUGGGGUCAGCCGCAAGGCGAAGCUCUUGAUCGAAGCCCCAGUAAACGGCGGCCGUAACUAUAACGGUCCUAAGGUAGCGAAAUUCCUUGUCGGGUAAGUUCCGACCUGCACGAAUGGCGUAACGACAGCGGCGCUGUCUCCACCCGAGACUCAGUGAAAUUGAAAUCGCUGUGAAGAUGCAGCGUUCCCGCGGCAAGACGGAAAGACCCCGUGAACCUUUACUAUAGCUUUACACUGAACGUUGAGUUCUUCUGUGUAGGAUAGGUGGGAGGCUAUGAAACCAGGACGCUAGUUCUGGUGGAGCCAUCCUUGAAAUACCACCCUGAAGUGCUUGACGUUCUAACCUAGGUCCGUAAUCCGGAUCGGGGACCGUGUAUGGUGGGUAGUUUGACUGGGGCGGUCUCCUCCCAAAGAGUAACGGAGGAGCACGAAGGUACGCUCAGCGCGGUCGGACAUCGCGCACUGUGUGCAAAGGCAUAAGCGUGCUUGACUGCGAGAUCGACGGAUCAAGCAGGUACGAAAGUAGGUCUUAGUGAUCCGGUGGUUCUGUAUGGAAGGGCCAUCGCUCAACGGAUAAAAGGUACUCCGGGGAUAACAGGCUGAUACCGCCCAAGAGUUCAUAUCGACGGCGGUGUUUGGCACCUCGAUGUCGGCUCAUCACAUCCUGGGGCUGUAGCCGGUCCCAAGGGUAUGGCUGUUCGCCAUUUAAAGUGGUACGCGAGCUGGGUUCAGAACGUCGUGAGACAGUUCGGUCCCUAUCUGUCGUGGGCGUUGGAGAUUUGAGGGGGGCUGCUCCUAGUACGAGAGGACCGGAGUGGACGUUCCGCUGGUGUUCGGGUUGUCAUGCCCAUGGCAUUGCCCGGUAGCUACGAACGGAAGUGAUAACCGCUGAAAGCAUCUAAGCGGGAAGCACGCCCCAAGAUGAGAUCUCCCGAGAGCUUGACUCUCCUAAAGGCACCAUCAAGACUAGGUGGUUGAUAGGCACGGUGUGGAAGUGCAGCAAUGCAUUGAGCUUACGUGUACUAAUGAGCCGUGAGGCUUGACCAU
rnacentral:rRNA from 1 species